AGAGUGGCGAACGGGUGAGUAAUAUAUCGGAACGUGCCCAGUCGUGGGGGAUAACGUAGCGAAAGUUACGCUAAUACCGCAUACGAUCUAUGGAUGAAAGCGGGGGACCGUAAGGCCUCGCGCGAUNGNAGCGGCCGAUAUCAGAUUAGGUAGUUGGUGGGGUAAAGGCUCACCAAGCCAACGAUCUGUAGCUGGUCUGAGAGGACGACCAGCCACACUGGAACUGAGACACGGUCCAGACUCCUACGGGAGGCAGCAGUGGGGAAUUUUGGACAAUGGACGCAAGUCUGAUCCAGCCAUUCCGCGUGCAGGAUGAAGGCCCUCGGGUUGUAAACUGCUUUUGUACGGAACGAAAAGGUUUCUCUUAAUACGAGGAGCUCAUGACGGUACCGUAAGAAUAAGCACCGGCUAACUACGUGCCAGCAGCCGCGGUAAUACGUAGGGUGCAAGCGUUAAUCGGAAUUACUGGGCGUAAAGCGUGCGCAGGCGGUUAUGUAAGACAGAGGUGAAAUCCCCGGGCUCAACCUGGGAACUGCCUUUGAGACUGCAUAGCUAGAGUACGGUAGAGGGGGAUGGAAUUCCGCGUGUAGCAGUGAAAUGCGUAGAUAUGCGGAGGAACACCGAUGGCGAAGGCAAUCCCCUGGACCUGUACUGACGCUCAUGCACGAAAGCGUGGGGAGCAAACAGGAUUAGAUACCCUGNNAGUCCACGCCCUAAACGAUGUCAACUGGUUGUUGGGUCUUCACUGACUCAGUAACGAAGCUAACGCGUGAAGUUGACCGCCUGGGGAGUACGGCCGCAAGGUUGAAACUCAAAGGAAUUGACGGGNANCCGCACAAGCGGNGGNUGAUGUGNNUUAAUUCGAUGCACGCGAAAANCUUACCCACCUUUGACAUGU
rnacentral:rRNA from 1 species